AUGACACAACGGGUAGCCAUUUUGUUAGAAGUUUGGGGGAGUGUUUCGAGAAGCCGCCUUUCGUGGUUAUUCUUUAUCUGCUGCGGUACCCCAGAAAUUCGGGCGCAACUUUGUAGCAUAUCUUUAUUUUGCAACACGCAAGGUUUGCGCCGCGGUUCUUGCAUAGAAUUGCGACUUCAUCUGCUUCCUCAAGGGCUCGAACGAUACCCAGCCAUUCAUUUCGAAAGCAUGGUCAUUGUUAGCCAGCUAGCUUAAUCGCUUAUGUCUCAUGGCCGCCGGUGGUAGAAUUUUGUGAAGGAGACACGUUCAACGCGCUCGCUGCAACUGGAUAUCCAAACCACGCAACAACAGCUUGGAAGUGUUUAUCGGAAGAGGAACAGAGUUCGUCACCGUUGCAUUUCCUUGCACAACCUAACAUUUCGCCGUGCAUCGUAAGUUAGCAAGCUAGUCAGUUAGCUAUCAGCUAACCUCAAGUAAUUUAGUGCGGAGGUCCGUGAGGUAGGCCAACCCGUAAGGUCAAAGAAAGCGGGUUUACAGCUAUUCGCUAGCUAUCAAAGCAGUGUUUGUUCAAAAUGGCAGAGUGCUAUAUUCGCGUCGCUGAGGAUGAAAACGAGGAGCCUAUGGAGAUCCCUUCCGAAGAUGAUGGCACCAUCUUGUUGUCGUCGGUGGCUGCACAGUUCCCUGGAGCCUGCGGCCUACGGUACAGAAAUCCCGUCUCCCAGUGCAUGAGAGGGGUUCGUCUGGUCGACGGAAUUCUACACGCACCCGAUGCCGACUGGGGAAACCUUAUCUACUUCGUUAACUACCCCAAAGAUAACAAGAGGAAGAUGGAUGAAAUGGAUGCUGCUUCUGGUGGGAAGAUGAAGAGGGGAGUCGCCAAGACAUCAGACCUGAUUGUGCUCGGCUUGCCGUGGAAAACAUCAGAACAAGACCUGAAGGAUUAUUUUGCUACGUUUGGCGAGGUCAUCAUGGCUCAGGUCAAACGAGAUGUGAAGACUGGCAACUCCAAAGGUUUUGGCUUCGUAAGGUUCACAGACUAUGAAACCCAAAUGAAAGUCAUGUCCCAGAGACAUAUGAUUGACGGAAGAUGGUGCGACUGUAAAUUACCAAACUCUAAGGCUGGUCCUGAUGAGCCCAUGCGCAGCCGAAAAGUCUUUGUGGGUCGCUGCACAGAGGACCUGAGUGUUGACGACCUCCGACAGUUCUUCAUGCAGUACGGCGAGGUCACUGACGUGUUCAUUCCCAAACCUUUCAGAGCGUUCGCCUUCGUCACAUUCGCUGAUGACCAGGUUGCACAGGCCCUGUGCGGCGAGGACCUGAUCAUCAAGGGGACCAGCGUGCACAUCUCCAACGCUGAGCCCAAGCACAGCAAUAGUAGGCAAAUGAUGGAUCGUGGGGGUCGUUUUGGGGCCGGGUUUGGGGGUCAGGGCUUUGGCAGCCGCAGUCCAAACAGCGGAGGGGUGAAUUUCGGGGCACUCAGCCUCAACCCUGCCAUGAUGGCGGCCGCACAGGCGGCACUGCAGAGCAGCUGGGGCAUGAUGGGUAUGCUGGCUAACCAGCAGGGCCAAACCGCCGCCACCGGCACCAGCGCCACCGGUCAGAGCAGCACUAGCCGCGAACAGGGCCAGACCUAUAGCGCCAACAACAACUACGGCACCCAGAGCUCAGCCAGCCUGGGCUGGGGCACCGGCUCCAAUUCGGCCUCAGGCAGCGGCGGCUUUAACUCUAGCUUCGGGACUAGCAUGGAGACCAAGUCUAGCUGGGGAAUGUAGGCUGUAGAUGGGAGGGAGGGAGUGAGUGAGUGAGCGAGAGUGCGAGAGUUAAGGGGGUUUGAGGAGUUAUUUUUGUUUUGGUUUUGAGUUUGUUGUUUGAGAGUAUGAUUCAAGUUUGUAGUUUAAGUAUGGUACAUGGUAAGUACUUUGAAUUAAGACAUUUGUAGUCAGAUGUUCUUUCCGUUAAAAAAAUAUGGGGUAAGAAUAGCCCAGCCUUUUUGUAUAGGAGAAAGAAACACAAACACAAUGGAUCAAUUUAAAUCCCUUGACUUAUUCAGAGUGGUUAAGUGUCAAGCUAUAUUGAUCUCUAAUUUAGUUUAUUAAUUUAUUUUAUUUACAAGACAGACGUCUGACACUGUCUAAAGUCACACAAUUUUUUUAAGUUUGCCCUUUCAACCAAGUUAAUGAUUAGCCAUUUGUAACUUAAAAAAAGACAAACUGACACUUGGUCAGUUCAUUGUAAGACUGAUUUGAGUUAAUGUUGUGUGCAGUUGUUUUUUUGUUUGCAUUUGCGUUUGUUUGAAGCUUUUUUUUAAGGUGAAGCCUUCACAAAUCUCUCCUGCAGUUAACCAGCUCUUUUCCAAUUUCCCUGGAAGAAGUCCAUCGCUGGCCGCAAUGUUCGAACGGGCUCAGCAGUAUCAACAGUAUCAGCAGUAUCAGUACCCUUCUUCCCAUGUGUAAAUGCUAAGCCAUCAAAGAACACAGCUUCACUCUGCAUUUACUGUGUUAGACGGGACCUUGGACAUCGAAGAGCCCAGAUUAACACCAGAGCCCAGAGUGAAGGCACUGUUCGGGGAGCUGAAGACUGGAGUUGGUGGUGUUGGGUGUUUGGCUCCCAACAUGAUCCAACUGUGGAGACGCUGCCGAAUGCCUUAUACCUGAAAAGGGACUUCUACGCAUCUCUCUGUAUCCAGAUUCCCUGGGGAAGCCUUUUAAUGAAAUUUGACUAUGGACAAUUUACCAAAUUGGUUUGGAUCCUCAAAGCAAGUCCCUUUUUUAAAAUGCGAAAGGGCAAGAGGCUGGUGGGGUGGGUAAUUCUUUCGGGAAGGAAGCCAUCUUGCGAUUUUAAGGAAUCGGGUUAAAAAAAAUGCAGCGAAUUGGAAGAGGGAUGUCAAUGUGUCUGGCGAUCAGUCCCCAUCCGAAUGACUCGUAUAAUUCCUUGACCCAACCAUUCUGUUUUAGACAUUGUUUUAUUUCUGAGCUGUAUUUGCCAGAUAAUGUUUUUGGUCUUACUUUUGAAAGACAUUUUUAUGUUUGUUUUGUUUUUUUCCUCUUAGUAAUGUCUUGGUUCAGUCAUCACCGUACAACCAUUGAUUAUUGUAUUUCAAAAUGGUGAGAUUUUUGCAGGUUGGAAAAGCAUAUUUUUUCAUAAAGUAAUCUGUAGAACUUUUCCUGUCUUUUGUGGUUGGAAAUGUUCGUCUUCAAGUCCUUCGAAUCUUGGAAAAAGUUGUGAUUCUGAAUUUCUUAGGCAAGAUUUAUUUUUUAUUAUUGUUUAUUUUUGGAGAGGCUAAUAAAACAUCUCUGCAGGAAUGCUAUCAGAAAAUGUAUCACAACAGUCUUAUUUUUAGUCCUUCAAAGUAUAAAAUAAACAUCUAACUUUGUA